rnacentral:rRNA from 1 species
GAUGAACGCUGGCGGCGUGCCUAAUACAUGCAAGUCGAGCGAACGGACGAUAAGCUUGCUUUUCUGAUGUUAGCGGCGGACGUGUGAGUAACACGUGUAUAACCUACCUAUAAGACUGGUAUAACUUCGGGAAACCGGCGCUAAUACCGGAUAAUAUUCUGAACCGUAUUGUUCAAAAGUGAAAUACGGUCUUGCUGUCUCUUAUAGAUGGAUCCGCGCUGCAUUAGCUAGUUGGUAAGGUAACGGCUUACCAAGGCGACGAUGCAUAGCCGACCUGAGAGGGUGAUAGGCCACACUGGAGCUGAAACACGGUCCAGACUCCUACGGGAGGCAGCAGUAGGGAAUCUUACGCAAUGGGGGAAAGCAUGACGGAGCAACGCCGAGUGAGAGAUGAAGGUCUUCGGAUCGUAAAACUGUGUUAUGGGGGAAGAACAUAUGUGGAAGUAGAUGUGGAGAUAUUGACGGUAACUAAUAAAGAAGCAACGGCUAACUACGUG